CACCCCUGAACUGCAGCCCCUGUGAUCCUCUCCUGGUGAGCCACGGUCUUCUGGAUUUCCCACAUGAUUGCACGUUUCACCCCAAGGUAGAAGAGAACAUGGAGAUGAUUUGCCUUGACAUCUUUACUUUACAGAUGAGGAAGCUGAGGGACUAAAGAGGGGCCCUGGAUAUUUGACCUGCCCUCCCCUGCUAUCUCCAAGGACUUCGCCCUCUACAAGGCCAAAGGAGCUGAGCAGAGCCAGGGU